UCAGACUUUCUGGAGGUGGAAAGAGAUAUCAGUGCUUUUUAAUGUUUUAUAGAUUCUUCCACUAUGUGGCAAAGUUUGAGAACUAGUACGCUAUCAAGAACGACCAGUGGUUCCCAGACUUGGCUGCACCUGAACUCACCUGGUGACUUGUAGGUGGUGCCCCGUCAAGGACUCUUUCAGCCCUUGGCUGUGCCAAGAUGCCUGUCAGCGGGUGCUGUGUUCCCCACGCGCUUCCUGCUUGUGAGGCCACAGUGGGUCACGCUAUUGAGUGUGGAUGGAGGGGAGAAAGGGAUGAAAAGCUUACUGCUGGGUUCGAUGCUGCUGCUGGAGCCACGGCCUCGAUGCAAACACUGCUGUGAGGGGGUUCUGCUCUGGCCCAGGAAGGACCGGAAACUAAGAAUUCCACUGAAGGAAGGUUUGAGUUGCCUCCAGGGGAGGAAUGAAGGAAGCACAGCCAGGCUG